rnacentral:lncRNA from 1 species
UGGAGCUGCAUGUGUUGUCAGCUGGUUCCCCUGCCUCCCGCCUCCACUGACCUCGAAGUGUUCCUGGGUUGUAUAGAUGCUCAACAAGGAGAUAGAUAAACAGGCCAAGUGAGUUUAUGGGAGAAGCCCUUACCUGCAGAGGUGCUGGGAUGCAAAUGAGAGGAGUCAGAAUUGCUCCCAGCAGAGUUCCUGGCAAAUGAUAGCUGUUCAACCAAUGUUUGUUAAAUGAAUAAAGAAGGGCCCACUUUCUACAGCCAAUAAAGCUGGGGAUGCACCGAGAGAUGAGGUGCCGUGGUAUCUCUUGUUCCCUGGACGGCCCAAGGAAUUCACCUGCUUGCGUACUUGCUACAUUUGGGCACAAAACGUGUUUAGACCUCAAAGUCCUGAGCUGUCUCUUGCAAAAACUGAG